rnacentral:rRNA from 1 species
UCCCACCCCUUCCCAUCCCGAACAGGACCGUGAAACGACUCCACGCCGAUGAUAGUGCGGAUUGCCCGUGUGAAAGUAGGUAAUCGUCAGGC